rnacentral:lncRNA from 1 species
UGUUGUCGUAUUAUUUUAAAAUCAAUUGUAUUUUUUGAAAACGCUCCCUAAAGCUAUCCAAUUUCAACAGUUAAAAUAAGUAAUACCUAUCUUAGUAAUACAUAUUAAAACUAUCAAAAAUAAUUAAGCGACCUUAUUACAUUUAAAAAACCCAAAACUUCAAACGUAAAUAAAAGGAUGUCCAGUUCACCAGAAGAAAACCAAACUUUCAGAACGGGUGGCCACUUCGAAUUCCCUCACAGCUUCAAGCCCACUAUAGUUAAGGAUUUCCUGCGUGGAUGAAAAUAAAAGGGGUGAGUUUAAGAAAACUCAGUGUGUAAAGAAAACCUAUUCAAAGCCCAAGUCAGCUCAAGCCUAUUGGGCCUAAGCCCAUUUAGGUAACAGUGGUACUGGACCAGAGCCCUUUUCAGAUUACAAUAAACUGGGCCUUAGCCCCUUAUUCAGAUAACAGUAUGGCCCAUAGGCCCAUUUCAAAAUACAUGUAACAUCAAUAACAUAUGCAAGCCCAUUUGGGGAGACUACUCAACCCACCAACCACUACACUCCACCCGUACCAGCCAUACACUCCAUGUGGGGAAUAGCUCAACCCACCUAACCCAACACUCCACAGUUGCAGCCUUGCUGCUCAGUUAGCAGUAAAUUGAGGCAAAGCCUCCAGUACGUGGACAAGCCACUUUCAGUACUUCCUCCGUCAAUAUCUCAAUCCCAUGCAUCAGAUAAUAACAUGGCAUGCAGUAAAUAACAACAGCCAAACAUGCAUUUAGGUCAAUUUAACCCUAGGGGUAUUUCGGUAAUUUAUCUACUAGGGGUAAAACUGUAAAUUUUCCAUUUUUAAAGGUAUUUUAGUAAUUUAUCUAUUUUAGAGUUUUUCAUGCAUAUUCCUACUUUUCACGUACUAACAGAAUCACGUACCGAGUGUUCUUACCGAAUUGGGCCUGUUGGCCCAUCAUUUCAAUUUUGGCCCAUUAAGCCCAGAAAUAUCGAGGGCACAGAAAUAAUACAUUUCACAGUCCAAAUUUUGUAGCUUACCAAAAACAUUAAUCGAUUUACCUCACGAGCAUUUGCAUACUCGUAAAUUUACAAAAUACUAGUUUUCAGCAUUUUGAUUUGUCAACUUUUGUCGAUCCAGACUAAGAAAGAGGGUGUUAGUUACAUACUUGUUUGCGACGAUAUGCUGAUGAGAUCUACACACGAACCGCCUACAAUUGGAUUACUAACACGUUAAUCUAACUAUUCAAAUACAAACUACGUAUUAACCCCUUACAAUAUUCGGCCAACCACACCUACAGAUCAUAGUAAGCUUAUAAGAAAUCAAUAAGCAACUCAUUAACAAAUUUUUGUCAAUGUUAACCACAUAAUCAUAAUUUCACUGCAAGCUGUCUUCUUGAGAAAUAGUCACUAAAUCAUUUAUAACUGGUGCUACAAAACUCCAAAUCAAGUGCCGUUAAUUUUCCCUGAAAAUACUCAUAUAUCUUAUAUCCAUAAAAUUUUCAGAAUUUUUGGUUUGAUCAAUCAAUACCAGAUAUUUCUCAAAGUUUCGCAUGUUUCACUGUUUGACUAAUCUGACCACUCUUCAUUACGAAUCAAAUUUUUCAUUGUACAGAAUUCAAAAUAUGUUCUCGUUUAUUUCAUUUGAAACUAGAUGCAAUAAGCUUUAAUUACAUAAUUUAUUCAGCUUCUAAUUCAUCUCCCACAAUUUAUGGUGAUUUUCCAAAGUCACGUUACUGCUACUGUCCCAAGCAGAUUUAUUACCAAAUUCACUCUUUCACACAUAACAUGUAUAUCACCAAUCAAUCAUCACAUAUCUAUGAUUUUACUUAAGUAUAAUCUCAAUUUCAUCAUUUUAAAGCACAUGUUAGCCGAUAUUUCCCCUUAGCAUCUAAGGCACAUACAUGCUCAUUUGUUUGGCUCAACUUCACCUAUCUUUCAUUUUUUAUCAAAAGAACAUGAAACAACAACCAUUUCCUUCGUUUUAAUUCAUGACUAAAUGCUCACAAUACAACUAAAAACUAAAAUAUGCUUCAAGAGUUAAGGUAGAAUCAAGAACUCAUGAACCUCAAAAUAAAAAUAAACUACCAUGAACUUACCUUCAAUUUUUCUUCCCCAAGUGACCGAACAUUCAAGAGCUUUCUCUUCUCCUUUCUCUUCUCCAACUUUAGGCUAUAAUGAACAAAGAUGGACAAAACUUUAUUCUUUUCACCCCUUUUUCUUUUAAUAAAAUUUAAUAUUUCAUUUAUUUAAUUCUUUAAUACAAAAGAUAUGAAAUUUCCAUCAUGAAAUAUUUAUUUAACCCAUUAUCAUGAAACAUUUACCUAACCCAUUAUCAUGGAACAUUUACCUAACCCAUUAUCAAUUUGUACCAUGAAUUAUAGAUAUCAAGUGUUCAUAUUGUCUACAACAACAUGAUGGCUGACUACUUCAUAUAAAAUGAGAGGUUUGUCAUGCAAAUCCUUCUAUUUUACACUAUUAUUUAUUUGGCCACUUCAAUUUAGCCUAUAGCAUUUUCAAACAUUUUUACAUAGGUCCUAUUUCAUAAUUUCACUCACAAAUGACAAAAUUAAAACAUAAAAUUUUGUCAACAUUCACAGAAUUCCCGAAAAUUGAAACGUUAAAGCAAACGAAAGAAAAAAUCUUUUCAAAAUCUUAAAGAUAGGAUCUAUUCGAGAAUUGAAGGACGGAGCUCCAGGUUACUAUCACAAGAAAGAAAGGAGGUCUUCAUUAAAUCAAUGCUUCAGGCAAUACCAACCUACGCUAUGUCAUUUUCUCUUUUACUGAAAUCAUUAUGUGAGGAGUUAGAAAAUAUUUUUUGCUAAAUUUUGGUGGCAAAAUGGCUAUGGAAAAAAAAAUACAUUGGUGUCAGUGGAAGCAUGUGUCAUCCUAAAGAAGAGGGAGGGAUAGGUUUCAGAAGUAUAAAUCAAUUUAAUAUAUCAUUAUUAGCAAAGCAAGAUGGAGGAUUUUAAAUACCCCAAACUCUUUAGUUGCGUAAGUACUUAAAGCGAAAUAAUUUCCGAAUGAGGAUUUUUUGAAUUCGCGUUUGGGAAACAAUAGUUCUUAUAUAUGGAAAAGUAUAUGGGCGACAAAGGGCAUCUUGGCAGAAGGACUUUGCUGGAAGGUGGGUAAGGGCACGAAUAUUUCAGUUAUUAAUGAUGCUUGGAUUCCAGAUGCAAGAAAUUUCAGAUUAUCGUCGUUUGCUCAUAAUAUGUGAAAUUAUAAAGUUGCUGAGCUAAUUGAUAAUAAUGACAGAAAAUGGAAGCGGGAGUUGAUUGUCAAUACCUUUCCGGAGGAAGAAGCUGAAAAGAUCUUUCGUAUUCCUUUGGAGAAAGAACCUCAUGACGAUUUUUUGGUCUAGAGCGGUGAACCUUCAGGAGAAUACUCGGUUCGAACACCUAUAAACUAUUACAAAUUUCUGAAGAUCCUAGAGCUUAUGCUUUGCAAACCGACUACAGGAAGUUUUACAAAAAAACUCUAGCUCCUAAAUCUACCUUCAAAAAUUAAGAUUAGCGUCUGGAAAAUAUCAUGGAAUUAUUUGCCUACACGGGUUAACGUGCAGCAAAGGAGGCUAACAAAUAUUGUAAUUUGUCCUCGGUGUGGAAAAUGGGCAGAAACUAUGGAUCACCUUUUUCGCGAAUGUCCUGUUUUAGUGUAAGUUUGGACAGAAUUAUCAAUCCCGAAUUUUUUACAGGAAUCUAAUUUGGAGUUUCUACAGUGGCUCACCUGGGUUUUUACUCAGAACACUCCCUCUCAAUGUAGAAUAUUUUUUUGUGCGCUAUGGGCCAUUUAGGGAGAAAGGAACGCUAGAAUGCAUGAGAAGGUAAGCAGAACUGGGAAAGAAAUAGCUAGCUUUGUCAAUAGUUAUAUUACAAAACUAAAUGGGGUUGAAUAAAGAACCCCCAAAAUUUCGCAGGAAGUUAGAAAAUGGAAUUACCCACCUGGUCAGUAAAUAAAAUCAACUUUGAUGGAGCAUACGAUGGGCAACAUUUUCAAUUGGUUUCGGAGAUUGUGGCUAGAAAUAGCGAAGGGAAUGUUCUUCUAUCUUGUUCAGAAAUUCAUCAAGAAGUGGCCUCCGCCUUCACUCUGAAGCACUCGCUUGUCGCGAAGUAGCCCAAAUGGGAAUAUACAUGCGAUGGCCAAAGAUUGUUAUAGAAGGCGACUCAUUAUCAAUAAUGAAAAAGUGCAAGGCAGAAAAACAAGAUAAAUUGUAGGUAGGAGCAUAUAUACAUGAUAUUCAACAAAUAACAUCUAGAUCUAGAAACUUAGUGUUUGAAUAUAUUCCAAGAUCAGCAAAUGGUUUAGCACAUAUACUAGCAACUGAAUCGUUAAAAAAGGAGGAGGUGUACUUGUUAGAAAGCAUCCCUGGAUAUGCUAAAAACCAGAAAGAAUUUGAUAGAGUGCGAGAACCAGAUUGAAAACGGAUAGAGAAAAAAAGGAAGGAAGGAAAGUUUCAAAUGAGCAGAUCAAUGGUUUUGGUGAUAAAAGCUUUCGUUGGAAAACUUUAACCGUCUUUAAGAAGAAAUGGGAGAUUGAUAGACAAGACGGGCAUCAGUGUUCUUUGAUUGGGCAAAGUUGCGGUGAUAAUUAUGAGCUUCUAGACUAUUCUUAUUUUAUUUUCUUUUUAGAAAUUCUUUUUAAUUCGGGCCAUUUUUUAAUGUUGGGCCUUCUCUUCUGUUUUAGUUCUAUU